CAGAGACAGGCGAAUUGAUGUGAGUUCAAGACCAGCCUGGUCUAUAAGAGGAUCAUUCACUGAACCCAGAACUUUCCAGGAGCCAGUGUGACUUGGGGGUCCUCACGAAUGCUGGAUUUCAUGUGACCACCAUACCAGCCAGCUUUUUUCUCUUCUAAUCCAAACUCAAGUCUUCAUACUGGCUCUUGACCCACUCAGCCAUCCCCUCAGCCUUACUUUUAGUUUCUUGAGGGCUUUUAUCAUGAAGAUUUUUCUGAACUUUGCCAAAUGCCUUUUCUGCAUUGACUGAGAAGAUCACGUGGUUUGUCCUUGGUUCUACGUGUGUGCCGUGUCACAGUUGCUGAUCUGCAAGUGCUAAGCAGUCCUUGCAACCCUGGAAUAACACUGGCUCAAUCAUGGUUUAUGAUUCGUCACCAUAUUAUUGAAUUAAGUUUGUGUUUUGUUGACAAUUUAUGUUCAUUAG